rnacentral:rRNA from 1 species
AUGAACGCUGGCGGCGUGCUUAACACAUGCAAGUCGAACGAAGCGAUUUGGCGGAAGUUUUCGGAUGGAAGCUGGAUUGACUGAGUGGCGGACGGGUGAGUAACGCGUGGGUAACCUGCCUCACACUGGGGGACAACAGUUAGAAAUGACUGCUAAUACCGCAUAAGCGCACAGGACCGCAUGGUCCGGUGUGAAAAACUCCGGUGGUGUGAGAUGGACCCGCGUUUGAUUAGCUAGUUGGUGGGGUAACGGCCUACCAAGGCGACGAUCAAUAGCCGACCUGAGAGGGUGACCGGCCACAUUGGGACUGAGACACGGCCCAAACUCCUACGGGAGGCAGCAGUGGGGAAUAUUGCACAAUGGGGGGAACCCUGAUGCAGCGACGCCGCGUGAGUGAAGAAGUAUUUCGGUAUGUAAAGCUCUAUCAGCAGGGAAGAAAAUGACGGUACCUGACUAAGAAGCCCCGGCUAACUACGUGCCAGCAGCCGCGGUAAUACGUAGGGGGCAAGCGUUAUCCGGAUUUACUGGGUGUAAAGGGAGCGUAGACGGUAAAGCAAGUCUGAAGUGAAAGCCCGGGGCUCAACCCCGGGACUGCUUUGGAAACUGUUUAACUAGAGUGCUGGAGAGGUAAGCGGAAUUCCUAGUGUAGCGGUGAAAUGCGUAGAUAUUAGGAGGAACACCAGUGGCGAAGGCGGCUUACUGGACAGUAACUGACGUUGAGGCUCGAAAGCGUGGGGAGCAAACAGGAUUAGAUACCCUGGUAGUCCGCACGGUAAACGAUGGAUACUCGCUGUUGGCGAUAGACAGUCAGCGGCCAAGCGAAAGCGUUAAGUAUCCCACCUGGGGAGUACGCCGGCAACGGUGAAACUCAAAGGAAUUGACGGGGGCCCGCACAAGCAGUGGAGUAUGUGGUUUAAUUCGAAGCAACGCGAAGAACCUUACCAAGUCUUGACAUCCUCUUGACCGGCGUGUAACGGCGCCUUCCCUUCGGGGCAAGAGAGACAGGUGGUGCAUGGUUGUCGUCAGCUCGUGUCGUGAGAUGUUGGGUUAAGUCCCGCAACGAGCGCAACCCUUAUCCUAAGUAGCCAGCAGUUCGGCUGGGCACUCUUGGGAGACUGCCAGGGAUAACCUGGAGGAAGGUGGGGAUGACGUCAAAUCAUCAUGCCCCUUAUGAUUUGGGCUACACACGUGCUACAAUGGCGUAAACAAAGAGAAGCGAGACCGCGAGGUGGAGCAAAUCUCAAAAAUAACGUCUCAGUUCGGACUGCAGGCUGCAACUCGCCUGCACGAAGCUGGAAUCGCUAGUAAUCGCGAAUCAGAAUGUCGCGGUGAAUACGUUCCCGGGUCUUGUACACACCGCCCGUCACACCAUGGGAGUCAGUAAUGCCCGAAGUCAGUGACCCAACCGAAAGGAGGGAGCUGCCGAAGGCAGGACCGAUAACUGGGGUG